CCUCUUUGUCAGGUCAGCUGCUGUUACGUCACAUUUUGUUUGUAAAGUUUUUAAGUUUGUAUCAUCAAGCUCUAGCACAUUCCAGAAAAGCAUAGAGUUGGUUUUGCUUUAGCUGGUUUCAUUACCAUUAUGAGGAAAACCAGUAAAGCACAUUGUUUUGAGUGUAGGCCUUGGAUAUUUCAAAGAUUUUUAUUGUCACUAUAUUUUUACAGCGAAAAACUUCCAGCUUAAUGUUGGCCAAAUACGUGAAUUAAUCACCAACUCUGGUUGAGUCAGUUGAACCUUCUCUGGGACUGGACAGACUGGGGAUGUGCACCAGGAGUCAAUACAGAGGGUGACUUUGAGCGAACAGCAGCAAACUGCCAGAACAAAAGACUGCGUUUUAGAAGUCUGCGAUCGGCACCAGAUUCGUCAACAAAAACCCGCGGUUUCAUUUUAAGGUUGUUGGAAGGAUUUAGUCUCUUUGAUGAUGUGGAGAUGGAGCAAUGAGGAAACAAAGUGACUGGUGUUGGAGGAGAGGAUGCAGAAGACCGGGUGAGAUGGAGGAAGCUGAUUCGCUGUGGCGACACCUGAAGGGGAAAAAGCCCAAAAGAACAGUUGUAGAAGUGGUAGCGGUCAGGCCAAGAGGUAAAAUUAGUUUUCACCCCUGGAUCUUCUAAAGUGACUUUUAUCUCUCCACAAAAUGUGUAGCUCAACAUGAAAACCUUUCAGAAAAUAAAUAAAAAAACUUCUAAAAUGGACACUUUCAAGUCAGUCUG